AUGGAAUGGAGGGAGUACGGUGCAAUUACAACCUACUCCGAGUCGUCCUUAUCAUCAUCAUCCUCGUUGGUGUUGUCCGAGGUAUCGAGCCAAACGUCCUCCCAACGAGGAUCGUCUGAGUCAAACAACGACUCCCCACCUGCUUCAAUGACAUCCCACUACGAUAUGGCCAGUCCCUUCUGCCGACGCCUGUCCACCCGCUUCGCGCGGCGCUUGUCGUCCUCUCUGCCCAGAAGGCGCGCUCGUUGGCGACAGCGCCACUCCGCCAUGGCUCGUUCGUCCUCCUCGGCGAUGAGGAGGCGACGCUGCUGCCGACGGUGCUCCGCACGAUUCAGGUCCGUGAUAAGACGAGGAGGAGGGGCGACGGCCUGCGCCUGCUCGCGCGUGUAG
rnacentral:rRNA from 1 species